GAUGAAGAAAGCAGUGAAAUGCGAUAAGUAGUGUGAAUUGCAGAAUUCAGUGAAUCAUCGAAUCUUUGAACGCACAUUGCGCCCGCCAGUAUUCUGGCGGGCAUGCCUGUUCGAGCGUCAUUUCAACCAUCAAGCCCCCGGGCUUGUGUUGGGGACCUGCGGCUGCCGCAGGCCCUGAAAAGCAGUGGCGGGCUCGCUGUCACACCGAGCGUAGUAGAUUUUAUCUCGCUCUGGGCGUGCUGCGGGUUCCGGCCGUUAAACCACCCUUUUAACCCAAGGUUGACCUCGGAUCAGGUAGGAAGACCCGCUGAACUUAAGCAUAUCAAUAAGCGGAGGA
rnacentral:misc_RNA from 1 species